CUGUGGAAGUUCAUCUGAACUCUGAGGAUGGAAAGUGGCAAGUGAUAAUUCCAAGUCACUACCUCCAGUGGGAAUCACGCCAACCACCUGGGCAGAUAGUAACCCCUCUUCCAGACUGUUUCUGCCUUUGGCUGAAUUUUUCCUCCACAUCUUGGUGUUUUUUUCUGACAAGCCAGGGAAAUCAGCCCUUAGCUGAUACACUACUUACCACAGACAACAUGUGGGUCACUGCUGCUCCCAGGUAGGCACUGAAGAGAGCUGUGGAAAAGAAAGGCAGUUCCUGCAUCUGCCCAGGAGAUGUUUGGUGUUGCCGUUGCAGGACGAAUGACAGUCGUAGGGAAGAAGAGGUUGUGUGGCCCUGAAGCAGCCAGGUAGAGAGUCAAGGCCAAGUUGAAAGGCAAGGUCAUGGACACCAGUGCCACAGGCAGGAGGAGCCACCAGUUGUAGUCUCCAUCAGCAGAGAAGACAGCCAUCAGCAAUCCCACCAAGACCCCGUUGUAUCCAUACAGGCCUGCUGCUAUGGCUGAUCUGUGUGGAGGGAAGAGCUGUCCUGAAAUCCUCUCCCCUGAGGAUGCUUUGCUCACAUCAGCCCUCCCUCCCCAGCUGUGGCUCUGUUUGGGGAUGUCCUGCUGGAGCUCGUCCACCGAAAUUCGAUUUCGCACACUUGGGUCAGCACCUAGCCCUUCUGCAGGUUUGUCCAGUGUCCCCCUGCACCAGGUGCAGCUGCUGGGAGACCUCUCUGGUCCUACCAGAACAGAUACAUGCUCAGUCAUGGCUGGAUCACACAAUCAUGGAAGGGUUGGGUUGGAAAGAGCCUUAGAUUUCACCGUGUUCCAACCCUAUGUCAUGGGCAGGGACACCUCCCACUAAGUUCAGGCUUCUCAUCCACAUCAAACAUCUAACACACACAAAUCAGCACUGGAGGGGCCACCUGCAGUGGUAAAAGGACGGACUUACCUGUCCUGACCCAGAAUAAGUGCUGUUAAAGUUGAGACAACUGUUCCCACACAUCCUGUGAGUGUCCACCACGGGUUCUGCAGCAGGAGGCCGGCGAGGAUGACCAGCCCACUGAGGGGAUUGUUGACAAACAUCACCUGGGAUAUCCCACGCAGCACCCAGUCAAGGAGCUGGAUCAUGAGAGGUUUGUCUGGAAAAGAUCAAAUCCAGUAAUAAAACAAGCCCCCUAAAGUCUGCAGAUGGUACUGAUUUGGGAUGUAUUUUUGAAACUCAGGAAAAGUUUUGGCAGUGGGACUUGGCACCACGACUGAAGCAAUGAAUCAACAAGACUGUAAAACCUGACAGGGAUUUAUUAUGGUCCACAGUGAAGGCUUACAGCUGGAAAACUGAGAUGAACAGUGAGGUUGCCAGAACCCUGUGUUAUAAAGUACCCUGGACCAGAUUCAUAUGAACCAGCUAAUUUAUGAUGUCUGUGGCUCAGAUGGCAAAUUGUGUGUGUAUCCCACUGCUGAUUUAUUACGGGGACCAAACACACCUACCUAUGUGUAAUUUAACUUCACAGUGGCAUUAGGCUUGACAGGAACUGCUCAGCUGAAAGGACAUGGAGUGUUAAGAAGAAUGGCAGAGUACAGAAUAACCAUCCAGGGCUAUGUUCUGUGGGACUAAAUUCACUUUGUACAUGGCAUGCUGGGAGGUAAAUGUCAUCUCAGACAUCCCCAAGAUUUAAGCAUUAUGUGGAUCUCUGCACAAAGCUGAUUUUUUUCCCCUACAAAAUGGACAUAAAUCAGGGUAGAGGUAGUUUCUGUACUACUCUAACUUGAAUCAAAUCACUAAAAAGUUAGUUAUUACUCCUUUGAUGUACUUUUUUUUGGAAUCCACUGUCAUUAGUCAUGAUGAAGUAGGUUUACCUUUCAGCCAGGUUCCAAAAUCCUUCAUGUCUCCAGUGAGGUAACCCACAGCUCUGCAGAAACUCUUCCCACCUGUGCUCAGUGGAUUCUGCUUCAUUGGCAUUCUUUCCCCCUUGGUUUCUAUCUUGACAUCAACACAGUUUUCCAUCCUGAUGUUCUGAACCUUUGGUAAAAUUCAAGGGAAAAGAAAAAAAAGGGAGUUAAUUAUACUGUCUCUUUCUGAUCUGUGUUUAUUCUCUUUACCACAUAACUGCUUACCACAUGUUACUUUGAAACCAGAAAGAGGAAAAUUCUUACUCUGAGCACCUGAUUCUUUUGUGUCCAUGAGCAUAUUCCCUCUUCACAUUCCCUGUUCUACCAGACUUCCACACAGUUAUAAGAAUAUGUCUCAUUUAUUAAGCUUCUCUGCUGCUUAAUCCAUACUUCCAAUUUGAAUUCAUCCAUCAAUAACAGGCACCUAAAUUCAGUUUCAUAAUCACCUGUUGGGAUCAGUUCAGCCUUUCUCAUGAGCACAGGCUUAACCUGGGGUGGUCCAUGGUGCCUUAUUCCAUUACUCACAUGCAUUCAUACAUUCCUUUUUCUCACUGAGCUGCACUUUAAGCUGACCAAUCUUUAGAAGUAACCAACAUUGAUUCAAGAGUUUGAUGUCCAAAUUCACAGUUCUUGCUUUCCACUCUGCCUUAGUCUUUCUAAGGUGCUUUCUUUGCUGAGACAAUACUGGGGACUGCAUGUAGUAAGAAACCCUUGAGGCUAAUGAAAAUACACUUAUUAAAUUUACCAGGUGAUAUAAGAAGUUUAAAUAAGGUAGGGGACUGUUAUAGGCCCAGCAAAGGUGUUUAGGCCUAAAUAAGGUGUUUGGGGUGCAGGACUGGGAGAUGGGGUUCCCUUUGGGACACACACCCUUUGCAUAAGGGGUU